GAUGGCGUGCCUUUUGUAGAAUGAACCGGCGAGUUACGAUUUGAUGCAAGGUUAAGCAGUAAAUGUGGAGCCGUAGCGAAAGCGAGUCUGAAUAGGGCGUUUAGUAUUUGGUCGUAGACCCGAAACCAGGUGAUCUACCCUUGGUCAGGUUGAAGUUCAGGUAACACUGAAUGGAGGACCGAACCGACUUACGUUGAAAAGUGAGCGGAUGAACUGAGGGUAGCGGAGAAAUUCCAAUCGAACCUGGAGAUAGCUGGUUCUCUCCGAAAUAGCUUUAGGGCUAGCCUCAAGUGAUGAUUAUUGGAGGUAGAGCACUGUUUGGACGAGGGGCCCCUCUCGGGUUACCGAAUUCAGACAAACUCCGAAUGCCAAUUAAUUUAACUUGGGAGUCAGAACAUGGGUGAUAAGGUCCGUGUUCGAAAGGGAAACAGCCCAGACCACCAGCUAAGGUCCCAAAAUAUAUGUUAAGUGGAAAAGGAUGUGGCGUUGCCCAGACAACUAGGAUGUUGGCUUAGAAGCAGCCAUCAUUUAAAGAGUGCGUAAUAGCUCACUAGUCGAGUGACACUGCGCCGAAAAUGUACCGGGGCUAAACAUAUUACCGAAGCUGUGGAUUGUCCUUUGGACAAUGGUAGGAGAGCGUUCUAAGGGCGUUGAAGCAUGAUCGUAAGGACAUGUGGAGCGCUUAGAAGUGAGAAUGCCGGUGUGAGUAGCGAAAGACGGGUGAGAAUCCCGUCCACCGAUUGACUAAGGUUUCCAGAGGAAGGCUCGUCCGCUCUGGGUUAGUCGGGUCCUAAGCUGAGGCCGACAGGCGUAGGCGAUGGAUAACAGGUUGAUAUUCCUGUACCACCUAUAAUCGUUUUAAUCGAUGGGGGGACGCAGUAGGAUAGGCGAAGCGUGCGAUUGGAUUGCACGUCUAAGCAGUAAGGCUGAGUAUUAGGCAAAUCCGGUACUCAUUAAGGCUGAGCUGUGAUGGGGAGAAGACAUUGUGUCUUCGAGUCGUUGAUUUCACACUGCCGAGAAAAGCCUCUAGAUAGAAAAUAGGUGCCCGUACCGCAAACCGACACAGGUAGUCAAGAUGAGAAUUCUAAGGUGAGCGAGCGAACUCUCGUUAAGGAACUCGGCAAAAUGACCCCGUAACUUCGGGAGAAGGGGUGCUCUUUAGGGUUAACGCCCAGAAGAGCCGCAGUGAAUAGGCCCAAGCGACUGUUUAUCAAAAACACAGGUCUCUGCUAAACCGUAAGGUGAUGUAUAGGGGCUGACGCCUGCCCGGUGCUGGAAGGUUAAGAGGAGUGGUUAGCUUCUGCGAAGCUACGAAUCGAAGCCCCAGUAAACGGCGGCCGUAACUAUAACGGUCCUAAGGUAGCGAAAUUCCUUGUCGGGUAAGUUCCGACCCGCACGAAAGGCGUAACGAUUUGGGCACUGUCUCAACGAGAGACUCGGUGAAAUCAUAGUACCUGUGAAGAUGCAGGUUACCCGCGACAGGACGGAAAGACCCCGUGGAGCUUUACUGUAGCCUGAUAUUGAAAUUCGGCACAGCUUGUACAGGAUAGGUAGGAGCCUUUGAAACGUGAGCGCUAGCUUACGUGGAGGCGCUGGUGGGAUACUACCCUAGCUGUGUUGGCUUUCUAACCCGCACCACUUAUCGUGGUGGGAGACAGUGUCAGGCGGGCAGUUUGACUGGGGCGGUCGCCUCCUAAAAGGUAACGGAGGCGCUCAAAGGUUCCCUCAGAAUGGUUGGAAAUCAUUCAUAGAGUGUAAAGGCAUAAGGGAGCUUGACUGCGAGACCUACAAGUCGAGCAGGGUCGAAAGACGGACUUAGUGAUCCGGUGGUUCCGCAUGGAAGGGCCAUCGCUCAACGGAUAAAAGCUACCCCGGGGAUAACAGGCUUAUCUCCCCCAAGAGUUCACAUCGACGGGGAGGUUUGGCACCUCGAUGUCGGCUCAUCGCAUCCUGGGGCUGUAGUCGGUCCCAAGGGUUGGGCUGUUCGCCCAUUAAAGCGGUACGCGAGCUGGGUUCAGAACGUCGUGAGACAGUUCGGUCCCUAUCCGUCGUGGGCGUAGGAAAUUUGAGAGGAGCUGUCCUUAGUACGAGAGGACCGGGAUGGACAUACCUCUGGUGUACCAGUUGUCGUGCCAACGGCAUAGCUGGGUAGCUAUGUGUGGACGGGAUAAGUGCUGAAAGCAUCUAAGCAUGAAGCCCCCCUCAAGAUGAGAUUUCCCAACUUCGGUUAUAAGAUCCCUCAAAGAUGAUGAGGUUAAUAGGUUCGAGGUGGAAGCAUGGUGACAUGUGGAGCUGACGAAUACUAAUCGAUCGAAGACUUAAUCAA
rnacentral:rRNA from 1 species